CCGCACCCCCGCCGCGCACGCGCGGCCCCGGUGUGGUCUGCAGAGACCCCUGUGGCUCCCCCCCUGCCGCGCACGCGCACGCGCGGCCCCGGUGUGGUCUCCAGAGACCCCCUGUGGCUUCCCCUCUGCCGCGCACGCGCACGCGCGGCCCCGGUGUGGUCUGCAGAGGCUCCCCCCCACCCCGCGCGCCCCCGCGCAUGCGCACACGAGGCCCAGGUGUCCUCAGAGCCCCCCGCGGCCCGAGGCGCGCAGUCCCGCCGCCGCUGCGGGCGUCGGGCCGAAGACGGAGCUGCGGCAGGACCGAGCGGCGGCAGGACCGAGCGGCGGCAGGAGAGGCCCCGCUGCGUUUCCAAAGCCUCAGGCAAAAUGCCCUCCACGGGCUUUGCGAAGCCCACCUAGGAGGCGGGGCCUUUCCUUCCAGGAGGCCGCCCGGUCCGGAGCUCGCGUCCGGCUGAGACUGAGCCCCAACCCGGUCCCACGCGCCGACCCCCGCCCCUCAGCCCCCACUCUCCUCAGAAGCCCAACUCAGGAAAAGUGGAGAAACUCCGCUUUCCAGGGCGCCCAGCGACCGGGACCCCAGCGGCGCCGGCGGGCUCAGAAGGCGGGUCACGAGACAGCACGUGCGACACGGUCUUGUCUGCGAGGACACACGGACACUGUGCACAGAAACCCGGAGGGUUCGAAGCCACCAGAAGUAUGCAACACCAGACUCUGUUUUGGGAUGACUGGAUUAUAGGAAAAUAAUCACAGCCACCAGUGGGAAGAGAGUCAGUGGAUGGAUCCUGGGCAUGACCUUGCUCCUUAGUGACCCCAUGACCGUCCCCCUGGAG
rnacentral:lncRNA from 1 species